CACGUAGGGCGCAAGCGUUGUCCGGAAUUAUUGGGCGUAAAGAGCUCGUAGGCGGUCUGUUGCGUCCGCUGUGAAAACUCGGGGCUUAACCCCGAGCCUGCAGUGGAUACGGGCAGACUAGAGGUAGGUAGGGGAGAAUGGAAUUCCCGGUGUAGCGGUGAAAUGCGCAGAUAUCAGGAGGAACACCAAUGGCGAAGGCAGCUCGCUGGAACGGUACUGACGCUGAGGCGACGAAAGCGUGGGGAGCAAACAGG
rnacentral:rRNA from 1 species